GGCAGAGUCAGAUGUGUUUAAGACACUUGUAGGAUUAUAUUGGAGUCUUGAUAUUUGCCUUUUAAUCGCUUCCAUUUGAAGGUUUGGUGUAAACUCCUUAGUUGCACAGGUAAAUGGAUUUUGAAAUAUGAAAUUUCUUUUGCAUUCACACCGAGCUGCAAAAUCAGUUAGAACUGUAGUUUUUCUUUAGAAAUCGUAUCCACAGGACCUUUGUGUAGGAAUGUAGAUCUUGCCUUUGUUUCAACUUCUGACAGUACACAGGAAGUAUACCAAGUAACUGGACGUGACUCAAACGUUAGUAGUCGAAAUGACUGAACUACAAUUUAAGGUUUGCAAACAAGCUGUUUGCCCUGUAAUUUUAGGUUGAAUUCAUUAAAAAACCUUAUCAAG